rnacentral:tRNA from 1 species
GCCGGUGUGGCGGAAUUGGCAGACGCGAUGGAUUCAAAAUCCAUUGGGGGCAACCCCGUGGAGGUUCAAGUCCUCUCGCCGGUA